GCGGAAAUGGCGAAAUUGGUAGACGCACCAGACUUAGGAUCUGGCGCCGCAAGGCAUGGAGGUUCGAGUCCUCUUUUCCGCACCA
rnacentral:tRNA from 1 species